rnacentral:lncRNA from 1 species
AUGCAUAUUCUUUAUCUAAUUUUGUUUGUUAGUUUCACUGUGUACGUAUAUAGGAUGAAGUCGCAUAUCCAAAGAUAUAGAUCGACAUGGUUCUAUAAGGUUCUAUAAUGAUGAAGAUUCCAGAUGGAUUUAUGUGGCGUGUUCAAAGAAUCGGUCUAACAAUGGUGUUGACAUCAAACAAAGAAUUGGAUUUUUUUAUCAACAUCGAUGAAUGGAAACAAAAUGGUGUUGACAUCAAACAAAGAACUGGGUUUUUUAUAUCAACAUCGACGAAUGGAAACAGUCUAACAAAUGCGGCGUUUAUAGGGGUCGUAGUCGCCGACUUAAGAUGCGAUUUGAACUAGAAUCAAAGCAAGACUGGUGAUGGCGAUGACGGAUACCCAAAUAAGGAGUCGCAAUCGAAAUCAGGUAUGAAAUUUGUCUCUAUUUUGAACACUCAUAUGAUGCCUACAAGUAAUGGAUGAAAACAUCUCAAUAAAAUGGACGAUUGGAUAUAGACGUUUUUUCUUGAAUCUCGUGUACUAUGAUUAUGAGAAUCUCA